AUUGAACGCUGGCGGCAGGCCUAACACAUGCAAGUCGAGCGGAUGAAGCGAGCUUGCUCCUGGAUUCAGCGGCGGACGGGUGAGUAAUGCCUAGGAAUCUGCCUGGUAGUGGGGGAUAACGUCCGGAAACGGGCGCUAAUACCGCAUACGUCCUGAGGGAGAAAGUGGGGGAUCUUCGGACCUCACGCUAUCAGAGGAGCCUAGGUCGGAUUAGCUAGUUGGUGGGGUAAAGGCCUACCAAGGCGACGAUCCGUAACUGGUCUGAGAGGAUGAUCAGUCACACUGGAACUGAGACACGGUCCAGACUCCUACGGGAGGCAGCAGUGGGGAAUAUUGGACAAUGGGCGAAAGCCUGAUCCAGCCAUGCCGCGUGUGUGAAGAAGGUCUUCGGAUUGUAAAGCACUUUAAGUUGGGAGGAAGGGCAGUAAGUUAAUACCUUGCUGUUUUGACGUUACCAACAGAAUAAGCACCGGCUAACUUCGUG
rnacentral:rRNA from 1 species